UACGUAGGGUGCGAGCGUUGUCCGGAAUUACUGGGCGUAAAGAGCUCGUAGGUGGUUUGUCGCGUGUGAAAGCCCCGGGCUCAACCUGGGAAUUGCGCGCGAAACGGGGGGGCUUGAGUUCGGGAGAGGAGCGUGGAAUUCCCAGUGUAGAGGUGAAAUUCGUAGAUAUUGGGAAGAACACCGGUGGCGAAGGCGGCGCUCUGGACCGAGACUGACGCUGAGGCGCGAAAGCGUGGGGAGCAAACAG
rnacentral:rRNA from 1 species